rnacentral:rRNA from 1 species
GCCAACUCUAGCCCAAACCCCUAUACAACUGUACUACCUACAAUACUAUAACCAAACCAUUUACCUACUAUAAAAGUAUAGGCGAUAGAAAUUUCACCUCAGGCGCAAUAGAUACAGUACCGCAAGGGAAAGACAAAAACUUAAUAAAGCACAAAAAAGCAAAGACAAACCCUUCUACCUUCUGCAUAAUGAAUUAACUAGAAAUAACUUUAUAUAGAGAACUUCAAUAAUAUUCCCCGAAACCAAGCGAGCUACCCAAAGACAGCUAAAAGAGCACACCCGUCUAUGUGGCAAAAUAGUGGGAAGAUCUAUGGGUAGUGGUGACAAACCUAUCGAGCCUGGUGAUAGCUGGUUGUCCAAGACAGAAUUUCAGUUCAACCUUAAAUUUACUUACAGAUCCACUAAUCUUCUCGUAAAUUUAAUUGUUAGUCUAAAGAGGGACAGCUCUUUAGACUUUAGGAAAUAACCUUUUAUAGAGAGUAAGACAUUCCACUACUACAGUUGGCCUAAAAGCAGCCACCAAUUAAGAGUGCGUUCAAGCUCAAUACCUGACUAUCCUUGAUUCUACUAACAACACCAAACUCCUAUAACACAUUGGACUAAUCUAUUACCCAAUAGAAGCAACAAUGUUAAUAUAAGUAACAUGAAAUUAUUCUCCUCGCAUAAACUUAUCUCAGACCGAAGUAACUACUGCUAGUUAACAGUCCAACUACCACAUUCUAUAUCUUAACAUAACAUUACUUAAACUGUUAACCCAACACAGGUAUGCAUCCAGGAAAGAUUAAAAGAAGUAAGAGGAACUCGGCAAACUCUACCCCGCCUGUUUACCAAAAACAUCACCUCUAGCAUUACUAGUAUUAGAGGCACUGCCUGCCCGGUGACACAUGUUUAACGGCCGCGGUACCCUGACCGUGCAAAGGUAGCAUAAUCACUUGUUCUCCAAAUAAGGACUUGUAUGAAUGGCCACACGAGGGUUUAACUGUCUUUUACUUCUAAUCAGUGAAAUUGACCUAUCCGUGAAGAGGCGGAUAUAACUUAAUAAGACGAGAAGACCCUAUGGAGCUUAAAUUUAAUAGUACAAACUAACAAAUUUAAAGCCAAGGCAACAACCCACCGUCCAUGUACUACAAAUUUUGGUUGGGGUGACCUCGGAGUAUAACACAGCCUCCGAAAAACAACACCAAGACCUCACCAGUCUAAGUAAAUAUAUAUAUAUAUAUUCCCAUUGACCCAAUAACUUGAUCAACGGACCAAGUUACCCUAGGGAUAACAGCGCAAUCCUAUUUUAGAGUCCAUAUCGACAAUAGGGUUUACGACCUCGAUGUUGGAUCAAGACAUCCUAAUGGUGUAGCCGCUAUUAAAGGUUCGUUUGUUCAACGAUUAAAGUCUUACGUGAUCUGAGUUCAGACCGGAGAAAUCCAGGUCGGUUUCUAUCUAUUAAAUAUUCCUCCCAGUACGAAAGGACAAGAGAAAUAGGGCCCACUUCACAAAGCGCCCUCACAAAUCGAAUGAUCAUUAUCUCAAUUCCAUAAACUACUGCCCCACCCCUAGACUAGGGAUC